AAAUUGAAGAGUUUGAUCAUGGCUCAGAUUGAACGCUGGCGGCAGGCCUAACACAUGCAAGUCGAACGGUAGCACAGAGAGCUUGCUCUCGGGUGACGAGUGGCGGACGGGUGAGUAAUGUCUGGGAAACUGCCUGAUGGAGGGGGAUAACUACUGGAAACGGUGGCUAAUACCGCAUAACGUCGCAAGACCAAAGAGGGGGACCUUCGGGCCUCUUGCCAUCAGAUGUGCCCAGAUGGGAUUAGCUAGUUGGUGAGGUAACGGCUCACCAAGGCGACGAUCCCUAGCUGGUCUGAGAGGAUGACCAGCCACACUGGAACUGAGACACGGUCCAGACUCCUACGGGAGGCAGCAGUGGGGAAUAUUGCACAAUGGGCGCAAGCCUGAUGCAGCCAUGCCGCGUGUAUGAAGAAGGCCUUCGGGUUGUAAAGUACUUUCAGCGGGGAGGAAGGUGUUGUGGUUAAUAACCACAGCAAUUGACGUUACCCGCAGAAGAAGCACCGGCUAACUCCGUGCCAGCAGCCGCGGUAAUACGGAGGGUGCAAGCGUUAAUCGGAAUUACUG
rnacentral:rRNA from 1 species